rnacentral:lncRNA from 1 species
GGUAUAUUGUGCAAAUUAAUAUAACAAGUAGCAAAUGGGUAUAACUAGACUCGAUUCAGCAUUCCCUCCCCACAACAACAACACACCUUUUUCAUAGUUGUGAACACUUUCUCAAAACUGUCUUUCAUCUCUUCUUUAAAGGUUUCCCAUCUGUUGGGAAUGAGAAGACCAUGCCAGCUGGGAAAGGGUUUGGAUCCUAGAGGGUGGGGCUCCAUAAUUUAAGAAUAAAAGCAGCCCUGUUUGUGUUGUAUGCAUAUCCAAAAUGUGUGUGAUACCUGCUGUCUGGGCUAUUCCAAGCCUGACCAUCUGUUUCUAUUUUUUGCUAUGGAGCUGCUCUGGUAGGAUGCAGUCCUGCCCAAGUUUUCACUGUCUUCUCAUUCCCAGGAGCCUUGGGGUGGUGUUCCCAUUUUACAGGUGGAAAACUUGAGCAUGGAGAGAGGCAGUAACAAGAAGUGGAUGGCAGGCCACAGGUCUCUUUAGGCUCCAGCCAAGCACUUCAGCCCUUUUUUUGUGAUUUUUCUGUUCAGUGCUGGCACCUGUACAAUGCUCCAGGCAACUGGGGCAGCAGAUCUUCCCCUCGAAAGUGAAACUCAACCUGAUGCUCCUCAUUCACAUCGGUUCCAGCUAAUGUCUCUCUUAACCCUUUGUUUCUUAGACUGGCAUACAAGGAGUUUGCCAUCUUAUCAGCUGUCAACACUAUCUCACCUAGUUUUUAAAACGGAUGCUAUUUAUUUAUUUAUUUUUCCUUCCCACAGGUACGAUCCCAAAGCGAACGAAUGGAGCUGUGCUGUGGCCCUGCUGCAGGAAAGCAAGCGAGAUGUGGGAUUGGCAGAGCUGGGCGGUUACCGCUACUGUGUAGGCGGUCAUGAUGGAUUGCUCUGCCUUAGCACGGUGGAAAGCGGUCACAGAUCUAGCAGCCAAAGAACAGAGGAGGGAAAACGGAACAGGCCUUAUGAGGAUGACAGGCGGAAAGGUGCAUUUCAUAAUGGUUCUUGGGAGCCUUCUUGAGAGGGAGACGGGCCAGGGACCAGAAACCUGGUUUGGAGAUGACCCCCGUGAGAUCUCAGGAGCACCCAAGGCUGCUGCUUCUGGGGCAGGUCUUUGAAUUCAUGAUGGACUCCUCCUGGCCUCAGGUACGAUCCGGGCGAGGACAGGUGGUGCGAGAUGGCCCCCAUGGCCAGCUGCUGCAUGGGCUUAGGCAUAGCAGUGCUCAAUGGCUGCCUCUACGCUGUGGGUGGCUCAGAUGGCCAGUCUCCGCUCUAUUCAGGUAACGGAAGAGUUACGUGCAUGUGACAG